AAACUCAGCAUAAUUAAUGGUAAAUCUAUAAAAUUCGUGAGUGCCAAUCUACCAGUUAACAAAUUUAAAAACAGACUAAUGAAUAUACUUCCAUAUGAAUCCACGCGAGUGUGCCUGCAGCCAAUUAGAGGAGUAGAUGGGUCAGACUAUAUCAAUGCUAACUAUAUAGACGGAUAUCGUGAUAAA